ensembl:scaRNA
UUCUUAGGUCCUCAGGGGAGUGUUUUCCUUCCAUGAUCAGAUCCCACUGUAGGUGGCAAUGCCUGCUGGGAGCCUGAGAAAAUUACACAAACAUGGCAGGUAAAGUGGGGUCAGGGACCUGGGA